rnacentral:pre_miRNA from 1 species
AGGGGAAUAGCUGGGUCAAAUGAUAGUUCCAUUCCUAGUUUUCCAAGGAAUCUCCAUACUGCUCUACAAAUUGGCUGCACCAGUUUGCAGUCCCACCAGCAAU